UACAGAGGUCCCAAGCGUUGUUCGGAUUCACUGGGCGUAAAGGGUGCGUAGGUGGUCGGGUAAGUCUGAUGUGAAAUCUUCGAGCUCAACUCGAAAAUGGCAUUGGAUACUAUUCGGCUGGAGGGUUGGAAGGGGGACUGGAAUUCUCGGUGUAGCGGUGAAAUGCGUAGAGAUGGGGGAGAACACUCGUGGCGAAGGCGGCCAGCUAGACCAGUUCUGACACUGAGGCGCGAUAGCGUGGGGAGCAAACAGG
rnacentral:rRNA from 1 species